UCGAACGGACUCAUAUUGAAACCUAGUGAUUUAUGAGUUAGUGGCGGACGGGUGAGUAACGCGUGGAUAACCUGCCGUAUACCGGGGGAUAACACUUAGAAAUAGGUGCUAAUACCGCAUAAGCGCACGGCUCCGCAUGGGGCAGUGUGAAAAACUCCGGUGGUAUACGAUGGAUCCGCGUCUGAUUAGCUAGUUGGCGGGGUAACGGCCCACCAAGGCAGCGAUCAGUAGCCGGCCUGAGAGGGUGGACGGCCACAUUGGGACUGAGACACGGCCCAAACUCCUACGGGAGGCAGCAGUGGGGAAUAUUGCACAAUGGGGGAAACCCUGAUGCAGCGACGCCGCGUGAGUGAAGAAGUAUCUCGGUACGUAAAGCUCUAUCAGCAGGGAAGAAAAUGACGGUACCUGACCAAGAAGCCCCGGCUAACUACGUGCCAGCAGCCGCGGUAAUACGUAGGGGGCAAGCGUUAUCCGGAUUUACUGGGUGUAAAGGGAGCGUAGACGGCAGCACAAGUCUGGAGUGAAAUCCCGGGGCUUAACCCCGGAACUGCUUUGGAAACUGUGCGGCUGGAGUGCAGGAGGGGUAAGCGGAAUUCCUAGUGUAGCGGUGAAAUGCGUAGAUAUUAGGAGGAACACCGGUGGCGAAGGCGGCUUACUGGACUGUAACUGACGUUGAGGCUCGAAAGCGUGGGGAGCAAACAGGAUUAGAUACCCUGGUAGUCCACGCCGUAAACGAUGAUUACUAGGUGUCGGGGGACCAAGGUCCUCCGGUGCCGGCGCAAACGCAUUAAGUAAUCCACCUGGGG
rnacentral:rRNA from 1 species